GAUGAACGCUGGCGGCGUGCUUAACACAUGCAAGUCGAACGAAGCAGAUUGAGAUCUUCGGAAGGAUAUCUGACUGAGUGGCGGACGGGUGAGUAACGCGUGGGUAACCUGCCUCAUACAGGGGGAUAACAGUUAGAAAUGACUGCUAAUACCGCAUAAGCGCACAGUACCGCAUGGUAACGGUGUGAAAAACUCCGGUGGUAUGAGAUGGACCCGUGUCUGAUUAGCUAGUUGGUGGGGUAACGGCCUACCAAGGCGACGAUCAGUAGCCGACCUGAGACGGGUGACCGGCCACAUUGGGACUGAGACACGGCCCAAAACUCCUACGGGAGGCAGCAGUGGGAAUAUUG
rnacentral:rRNA from 1 species